AUCCAACUGACGAGUUCCAAAUAGGACGAAACGCGCAUCCUGGAU
rfam:Schistosoma rodhaini strain Burundi genome assembly, scaffold: SROB_scaffold0000403